UACGUAGGGGGCAAGCGUUGUCCGGAAUCAUUGGGCGUAAAGCGCGUGUAGGCGGCCCGGUAAGUCCGCUGUGAAAGUCGGGGGCUCAACCCUCGAAUGCCGGUGGAUACUGUCGGGCUAGGGUGCGGAAGAGGCGAGUGGAAUUCCCGGUGUAGCGGUGAAAUGCGCAGAUAUCGGGAGGAACACCAAUGGCGAAGGCAGCUCGCUGGGACGGUACUGACGCUGAGGCGCGAAAGCGUGGGGAGCAAACAGG
rnacentral:rRNA from 1 species